CCGCUUUCCCUACCCUGCCAGAGGCUGGAAAGGGCCUCAGCCUUUCCAUCAGCACUUUGGGUCAUCUCUGAUUCUGCCUGAGCUAGGGAAUUGCAUUUCCCGACUGUAUCAUCCCAUCACAUGAGACAUUCAUGAAAUAUCACCCUGACAGACUCUUAAUGUUAUCAGCAUCAAUCACAGGGAUCAACGGCAAACACGCCUGAGACAGAGCAGCCAUCUCUGUCCGAUCCAGAGUAUUAUUAAUUGGGAAGCUUGUUUCUGGCCGCAGAGGCUGAAAUCUGCAGCCCUGGAGUGACCUUUGCUUUGGCCGCCAAGUGUCCCUGGCUGAGGCUGGCAGCAAAGCCCUCUCUUGUGGUUCUU
rnacentral:lncRNA from 1 species